rnacentral:rRNA from 1 species
GACGAACGCUGGCGGCGUGCUUAACACAUGCAAGUCGAACGGAAAGGCCCCUUUGGGGGUACUCGAGUGGCGAACGGGUGAGUAACACGUGAGUAACCUGCCCUUGACUUCGGGAUAACUUCAGGAAACUGGGGCUAAUACCGGCUAGGAAUCCUUGCUGCAUGGUGGGGGUUGGAAAGCUUCGGCGGUUUUGGAUGGACUCGCGGCUUAUCAGCUUGUUGGUGGGGUAGUGGCUUACCAAGGCUUUGACGGGUAGCCGGCCUGAGAGGGCGACCGGCCACAUUGGGACUGAGAUACGGCCCAGACUCCUACGGGAGGCAGCAGUGGGGAAUAUUGCACAAUGGGCGGAAGCCUGAUGCAGCAACGCCGCGGGCGGGAUGACGGCCUUCGGGUUGUAAACCGCUUUCAGCAGGGGCGAAGCUUGUGGUGACGGUACCUGCAGAAGAAGCACCGGCUAACUACGUG